rnacentral:tRNA from 1 species
AGAUGAUUAGUCUAACCAAGACCACUAAUUUCGACUUAGUAAAUCAUGACUAUUAACAUGAUCAUCUU